CCAAAAUUAGAUAUAAAAUAAGUGAAGAUGCUUGAAAAUCAACUAGUUUUAGUUGCCCUCAUUUUUGUGUUUAGGGUGUAGGGGCUGGCGUCCUCAAGCUCAGGUUUGGAGAAGUCUCUCUCUUUGUCAACCCUCGGUGCAAGGCUUUUCUUUCAUCUCUGAUUUAUUUAAAUGGUGCCUUUGACCUGCUAUCUAGCAUUCUAAAGCAACCUCAUGAAACCCUAGAUAACAUUAGUGGAGAUUUGCAGGCUAUUUCGUUAUCAUUUCUUUGGUAGAUGAUAGUUGCAGGAAUUGGCUACUUCUAGGAUCUCUUCAAAGCCUUGUCACCUGUAAGGAACAACAUCUUGGCUUUGUGAAUCACAGGGUUUGGCAGGUGAAUCUUCCUAGCCUUGGUGGAGGUUGGGUUUCAGAGGUCAUGUACUCAGAUUAUUGGAAGUAGGUGAUGGGAGAUCAUAAGAUUCUUUGCACUUCUGGAACACGUUAUCUGCAAAACCAUUUGAAUUAGGAACUGUUGACGAGGAAACCAAAUGGUGGGAGAUAAGUUAAAGUUCCAAUUUACAGUUUACUUAUUGCAGCCUAAUCUAAUCAUGACAGAAGAUGUGGUUUGUGCUAAUUAACUACAUGGACCUAGAGUGUGUUUUGGUUCGGGGUAAUUAGGUGUAAAGUGAGAAUUGGCUUUCCAUAACUUGAUUUUUACAUGCCAAGAGUAUUUUGUAUAUAAUUGGGUGCUUCUCAUUGUUAUUGAUUUUUAAUGUGGUUUGGUUUUAAAUAUGUUUGCUAGUCAUUUGUCUGCUAGUUGAGUUGCUUUUUGUGAUUGUGUUCAUUAUUUGUUUGAUUUUCUCAUUCAAUGACUUAUCUGCUACCGUAAUUUAGGGUCAUUCGUGCCGGAUGGCAUAUGAAUGAUGUUUACACGAGGUUUCCUUGGUUUAAAUGAUGAUAUAUUUAACCCAAAUCCAAUAACACUUCUUUUGCAAUUGUUCUCCAGAAAUGCAAAAGCAGUCAACACUGUGGUUGUGAGAAAUUGUACAAGGGAUGAGGGCCCUGUAGUUUGUAGAUUUCUUUGAAGAUACGCCCUCUUUGCAGCUAUUGCCAUUGACAGCCAUUUGUCUGCUAAGAGGCUGGAGCUGACCAAGAAAUUAUGUAGACUGAGGAUUAGUUUCUGCAGGGCACACAACUCGCUUGUGGUCUGCGAAAAGUACCUGUGGUCUGUAAAGCUAACUGCGGCUCAACUCCUGUCACUGGCUAUAAAAAGGCAACAUGAAAAGAUUUUUAGGGUAAGAAAGGCAGAGGGACAAGGUGGUGGCGGAUAGGGAAAAGGAAAAGGAAUUUUUGGAGACUCUGAAAAGGGCUGAAGAAGGAGAAGAAGGCUGGAGAACUGAUGAUCAGAUCUUUGUGGAUAUCAUAAGGAGUUUUCCAAGCCCUGUUGUACUGUGUCUCUGUAUAACUUUUAUUCUUCUUAUUUUCCUUUGUAAUUGAGACAUGGAAGUGUAAAACCUCUCUUUAGGUUUGGGAUUAGGUCAAAGUAGCAAUUGUUUGAUGUGUUGUUAAUUUUGUAUGGAUCUUUUGUGCUUAAAGGUAUAUUUCUUUUA